rnacentral:rRNA from 1 species
UACGAAGGGGGCUAGCGUUGCUCGGAAUCACUGGGCGUAAAGCGCACGUAGGCGGAUUGCUAAGUCAGGGGUGAAAUCCUGGAGCCCAACUCCAGAACUGCCUUUGAUACUGGCGAUCUCGAGUCCGGGAGAGGUGAGUGGAACUGCGAGUGUAGAGGUGAAAUUCGUAGAUAUUCGCAAGAACACCAGUGGCGAAGGCGGCUCACUGGCCCGGUACUGACGCUGAGGUGCGAAAGCGUGGGGAGCAAACAGG